rnacentral:rRNA from 1 species
UACAGAGGGUGCAAGCGUUGUUCGGAAUCAUUGGGCGUAAAGGGCGCGUAGGCGGCAAUUCAAGUCAUCUGUGAAAUCUCCGGGCUUAACUCGGAACGGUCAGAUGAUACUGCUUUGCUAGAGUGCGGAAGGGGCAAUCGGAAUUCUCGGUGUAGCGGUGAAAUGCGUAGAUAUCGAGAGGAACACCAGAGGUGAAGACGGGUUGCUGGGCCGACACUGACGCUGAGGCGCGAAAGCCAGGGGAGCAAACGGG